AAAAGGUUGUAACAGUAUUUCAAACAUCUGUUCUUAUAGUAUCUGAUAGAUUCUGACUAAGGUGUGUUAUUUAAGAUGAAAGGCACAAAACAAUUAUUACUACAGUAUUUUUAUUACUUCUAUCCAUUACACAAACAUGCAGUUUUAAAGAAAUUAAAUAUUGUCUUUAAUGAAAUAAAUACAAUGUGAUAAGCUGUGAAUGUGCUGCAUCAUUUCAAGGUGAAGAAGAAGAAACCUUCACCUCGAUGAUGACUCAGCUGUUGGGACACCAACAAAUACAUACACAGUACCAUCUAGUGUGUACCAUAGUGUGAAAUGGUGUUUAACAACAAGAAAUAUGUGUUGUAACUUUACAGACAGAGACAGAACCAACGUCACGCUGUGAUUUCCUGUCAGUUCAUGAUCUCAGGUCAGUCAUUAACACAAACAUUAACUCCUCGUCUGCUCUUCUGAUCAGUGACAAAGUCAAGCUCUGUUAAAUAAACACGACUGCAUUCCUUCUCUAUAAUGACACACUGAUACAAGUGAGUGGACUUUGGGUUUUUGUUUUUUUUUUUAGUUACUGGUCAAUCAUAUACCACACCUUACUACAACAACAAAACCUCCCUCUCUGUCUCUGUGGAUUUUUCCUUCUAAAGUACUUCUGCAGCACUUUAAAGUACUCUCAGUCUGUAUGGUGUUAACAAAACGUAAUAAAAAGAAAACCGAGGGAGACAACGUCGAGUUAAACAUGAAUUAUUUGAAUGUAGUUAGUUUGUCUUCUUGUUUAACCGAGACGUAGAACAGGAAAUAAACUCUGCCCUCGUGAGUUAGGUCUAGAUGAGAGUCACGUGACUUUGGUAACUGUUGACUGUGCACAGAAACUGCGACUCCUUAUCCCUACACUUAUUUAAAGGAAAAACACGUCGUUCAAAGUAGGAUUGACACCAAAGGUCAACUUGGGGCGUUGUGUUAAACUUAACCUUAAUCUGUGUUGGUUUUAGUCUGGUAAGUAAAUGAGUAAAGUUCUAAAAGAUCCUGUUGUGGAAUAAUUAAAAAGAAAACAGCUGUUGUACUUAUAAAGUACUAUAAAUUACUGUGCAAAGGUCACACUUUAGGCAUGCUACACACGGGACAGGGGACACUUGGAUUUGAACCAGGGACCUCUUCAAGUGCAGUCAAAUGCGCUAAAACUGAGGUACACUGUCACUUAUAAAGUCGUAAUUCAGUUUUGUUUUAUUGACAUAAACAAACUCAUAAAAAACAUCCCAUUUCCUGAAAAUAUAAUAUUAUUAGACAAAGAAAUUAUUAUAAUCAAUUUAUUUCACUGUGGUGUGAAUGUAAAAUAAAUCACUAGUGAAAUUCCUCAGCCAUGCUGCUGCCGUGUUACCCCGGAAACCUCGUGACCCCUGGAGAACCCCGCCCACCACCUGGGAACCACGGAGGUUAAGAGUCACAUUUUGCCUGCGAGUUCUCAGAAAAGACAACAGCGUAAAAAUCGAAAAAAAACGGACGGGAAAAAACUCACCCAACAGGUGAGACCCGGUGAUCAACUCCCAAC